CGGAGGCUACUGCUAUUGGGAUUCGACUAAGCCAUGCGAGUCAAGGUGUCUUCGGACGCCGGCGUACGGCUCAGUAACACGUAGGUAACCUACCCUCAGGACUGAGAUAACCCCGGGAAACUGGGGCUAAUAUUAGAUAGAUAAAAGAUACUGGAAUGUUCUUUUAUCCAAAGCUUUUGCGCCUGAGGAUGGGCCUGCGUCCGAUUAGGUUGUUGGUGGGGUAAUGGCCCACCAAGCCUACGAUCGGUACGGGCAGUGAGAGCUGAAGCCCGGAGUUGGGGACUGAGACAAGGCCCCAGGCCCUACGGGGCGCAGCAGGCGCGAAACCUCUGCAAUGCGGGAAACCGUGACAGGGGGAUCCCAAGUGCUCAUGCAUUGCAUGGGCUGUUCUUCGGUCUAAGUAACCAGAGGAGUAAGGGCUGGGCAAGACCGGUGCCAGCCGCCGCGGUAAUACCGGCAGCUCAAGUGGUAGCCGCGAUUAUUGGGCCUAAAGCGUUCGUAGCCGGAUAAGUAAGUCUUUGGUUAAAUCCUGCGACUUAACCGUGGGAAAUCUAGAGAUACUGCUUGUCUUGAGACCGGGAGAGGUUGGAGGUACUCCCAGGGUAGGGGUGAAAUCCUGUAAUCCUGGGGGGACCACCUGUGGCGAAGGCGUCCAACUGGAACGGGUCUGACGGUGAGGGACGAAACCUAGGGGAGCGAGCCGGAUUAGAUACCCGGGUAGUCCUAGGCGUAAAUGAUGCGAGUUAAGUGUGGGGGCAUCCACGAGAUGGCCCUGUGCUGUAGGGUAGCCGUUAAACUCGCCGCCUGGGGAGUACGGUCGCAAGGCUGAAACUUAA
rnacentral:rRNA from 1 species